GUCAUUAUUGUAUUUCUUGGGUUGUGUAAGUUACGAAGUCCAUGAAAUAUAGUAGGAAAGACCGGUGUAUUUAAAAAAUAUUAGAGAAGUCUUUAUCAUACCUUGUUGGCUUAUCAAUUCAAAACACAGUGUUUUCUCCAAUACUUAAUUAGUCAAGACUUUUGAUUGAACAAAAUUAAAAGCCAUCGAUUGCCUUGUCUUGUCUCUUUGCUUCUUAAUUAUUUGUCUGAUUAUUUUGAUGAUAAUCACUCCGAGAAACCUCAAAGAAACGCUAAGAUCUGACCCAACGCUUAAGGCUCGUAUCUGUUUCUCCAUGAAGAAGAUAACAGUUGAGUUAUAUAGAAAUCUAAGCUAGUCUACUUAUCAGGUUGCGAUGGAUCAAAUUAGAGGUUUUCGGUUUCUAGGCCAAGCAGAAACAUGUAGAGUUCUUCUUCUCAUGACUCUGGUCGUCGCCUUCAUUCUAGGUCUUCAGUACUUCGAGCUCACUCCAAUAUCUACUGGCACCCUUGGAAACGGCACCGUUUCUGGAUUCAUAGAAUCCAAUAAUAUAACUAAAGGUGAUGAAAACGAAAUGUUUCUUGCACCUCAAGAAGCAACCUCUGAGUUUAGACCGGGUAAUAGCACUACGGAGGUUCUGAAGAGUUAUGAGCACAAGUUUCUGAAUAAUUCUCCUAAAGCUUAUGGACAAAGCAGUGGCAAUGAAAGCGCAAGCUCUCAUCAUCCUCUUCAGCCCAAGAUACCUCACAGCAACAAGAAACAUGAGAGGAGCACCAAAAAACCACCGUUGGUUGUCAUAUCAAUAACCCAGAUGAAUCAAAUGAUAGUGAAACGGCAUAGUGAUCCUAAUAAUUCACUUACACCUCGUUGGGAAUCAAAUGUGGACAGAGAGCUUAAGGAUGCAAGAAACAAGAUCAAGAACGCGGCUUUGGUCAAGAAGGAUAAUACUCUUUACGCACCUCUCUACCACAACCUAUCCAUCUUCAAAAGGAGCUACGAGCUAAUGGAGCAGACUUUGAAAGUGUAUGUUUACUCAGAUGGGGACAGGCCAAUCUUUCAUCAGCCUGAGGCAAUAAUGGAAGGGGUUUACGCAUCAGAAGGAUGGUUUAUGAAACUAAUGGAGAGUAGCCAUAGAUUCUUGACAAAAGAUCCCACCAAAGCUCAUCUAUUCUACUUGGCUUUCAGUUCAAGAAUUCUUCAACAGAAACUCUACGUUCGUGAUUCUCACAGCCGUAGAAAUCUUGUUAAAUAUCUCCGAGACUACAUUGAUCUCAUCGUUUCCAGAUACCCUUUCUGGAAUAGAACUCGUGGCUUCGAUCAUUUCUUCACCGCUUGCCAUGAUUGGGCUCCAGCUGAGACUAGAGGACCAUACAUGAACUGCAUCAGAUCACUCUGUAACGCUGAUGUCGGACUAGACUUCGUGGUCGGAAAAGACGUCUCUUUGCCGGAAACAAAAAUCUCUACUGCACAAAACCCAAACGGAAACAUUGGAGGUAACCGUCCUUCUAAGCGAACAAUCCUCGCUUUCUUCGCAGGUAACAUGCACGGUUAUGUCAGACCCAUUUUGCUUAACCAUUGGUCUUCAAGUCCUGAACCGGAUAUGAAGAUCUUCAACCGGAUCAACCACAAAUCGUACAUCCGGUUCAUGAAACAAAGCAGAUUCUGCGUUUGCGCUAAAGGGUACGAGGUGAAUAGCCCAAGGGUGGUGGAGUCGGUUUUGUACGGUUGCGUUCCGGUUAUCAUCUCUGAUAACUUUGUUCCGCCGUUUCUUGAGGUUUUGGAUUGGGAAUCUUUUGCUGUGUUUGUGCCAGAGAAGGAGAUUCCUAAUCUGAGGAAGAUUCUGAUAUCGAUCCCAUUGAGGAGAUACGUUGAGAUGCAUAAAAGGGUGUUGAAGGUUCAAAAGCAUUUCAUGUGGCAUGAUGGUGAACCGGUUCGGUAUGAUAUGUUUCAUAUGAUUCUUCAUUCUGUUUGGUAUAACCGGGUUUUUCAAACGUUUUAGCCAAUUGAGGGUUUGGCAAGUCACAUGGGUAGAGUUAUUGCACCAAUAAUCAAUUUAAAAUUUUUUAAAUAAAGAUUGUAGAGCAGUUUGUAUAUACGGUACCAGGUUGGCAUCAAGUUCACUAAUACUCCCUCCAUUCCUAAAUGUAGGAUGUUUUAAAAAAAUUGAUGUUUCAAUAUAUAAGAUGUUUUUUUUAGGUAACUUUAACUUUACUAAAAAUUGUUUAACCAAUCAUAUUUAAUAAUCUAUUUUGUAAUUGGUUGAAUACCAUUAAUUUCUAAUUUAAUUGACAUUUUUUAGACAAAAAAAUAAUUUUCUUAAUUUUUUUUUUUUUAACAACAAAAUAAUUUUCUUAAUAUGUGUGUUUUUACCUAAACAUCUUAUAUUUAGGAACAUGGAGAGUAAAAAGUUUAAAUGGGUAAAACAAAAAAAUUGUAAAUCAACUUUAAAUUCUCUUGCCUUAAUAUCUAUACAAAAUGAUAUUUUUUGAAAGAAAUAAAAUGAUUUAUUUAUUUGAUGUUAGUUGGUUCAAUCAUUUUUAUAGUUCAAAAGAACUAAUAUCCAAGUCACAAGCAAUUUAACCGAUCAUCUGUGAGUUGUGACUGUACACGAGGAUUAGACCAUCAAAAUAAUUUCCAUUGCACAACCCUUAAAACUAAGAAUCCAUGAAGUUUAUCUCAGGUUAAAAGUUUCUUCCUGUUCGAUUUCCCAAUCAUAUAAAAGCGCACACAAUGAAAUUUCAAGACAUGCAAAUUUAGUAUAAUGUCAGUUACAAAAAAAAAAAAAAAAAAAAAAAAAAAAAAAUUUAGUAUAAUGUUAAACAUUUUCUUUAAGCAACUUAACAUAUCUUCAUUAUUUUCCUCUUAGACGACCUAAGCUUUUUGUAAUUUCGGAACCUUUUUGGCUACAAACUUCUCGUUUGGAAGUUACUGAUCAAAGACACUGUGUGGUGAGAUCAUGAGCCAGGGAUCAUGAGCCAGGCAAUCCGCAAUCGCAUGUGACAAACAAGCAGCAGGACUGAAGCUGUGAUAGGCAGACAUUAAAUAGUCAAUGUUGUCUUUCGCUUUAAUAUCUUCUUUGUAUUAAUAAUAAUAAUAAUAAUAAUAAUAAUAUGUUUUGUUUGCCGAAAAUUGGGAGUAAAAGAAAAACUAGAAGAUGUCAUUAAAUGGGGAUGGUGAUUUUUGACUAGUGAUGUCUGAUGUACUAUUGAGUCAGAAUCAUGUUUUCUUUGUAUGUUUUGUCUGUCUCUUACACCAUGUUAUGGUUUCCAACUUUUCAUCAUUUUUCACUUUUUAAAACUAUAUACGUACACAUAUGUGUGUGUGAUGAAUUUAAAACGAAUGAGUAUGUUUGGGGAAAAGAAGAAAAUAUAAAGAGGUAAGUGAAAAAUGAUCUAAUACAUCUAGAGUCCAAUCUUAAUAAAUAAUUUUUUGUCGACUCUUAAUAAAUGAUUUAUACGGGUAUAUAAAAGAAUUCCCUAGACUGGUCACAAUGAUCUAUCAACAAUCUUAAGAUUAAUAACGUCAAUCAAUCGAUGAUACAUACAUUGUCGAUCCCAAUGUGACUGUCUUUAUAAAUAAAUGAAAAUUUAAAUGAAGAUCAUUAAGCACUUAGGCUUUCGUAGAGCCUACAUCGAGCAACUGCAGUUAUCAAUCCUUUACCGCGUUUGCUAGUACGCGUACUUGACACCUGGUUGUGUUAUGGCUAGAGUUCUUGUUCCUUAUCAUUUCCAUGCACAUAGACGUGUCGGUUUUUAAGACUGCAAUUAUUUUUUUAGAUAUCGUCUGUUUUUCAUAAAACCGAAAAUUCCCAAAAAUGUAACUUAAUUUUCUUGUUUUUCUAAUCCAAAAUUUUUUCCAGAAAACACAUGAUAAAUAAAAUUGUUUCCCCCGCUACUGUUUUACAAACUAUUGUAUAUUAAUAUAAAUUUACAUUAUAAUACGGAGAUGACAACAGCGCUACUACAAAGAAAAUAUUAGAACUAUCGUUUUUGUUUCAGCAUAAACAUAGAUAAUGUUGUUAAGUUAAACUAGAUAGCUAGGAUCGAUGAGUAUUCUGAAGUAGAUUAAAAUUGUUAAUUUACGUUUCAGUCAACUACUUUAAAGAAUUCUUCAUGUUAAUCCACAAUAUUAGACACAUAGAAGGAUUUUAUUGGGUCUAAACGACAACCAUUUGCGUGAAUCAUUGACCAUAUACUGUAAAGAAAAGCAUGUUAAGACUAAAUGUCCUACCCCUCGAGUUGUCCUUUUUCCUAUCGUCUGCCAUGUCUCUCUGAUGAAUAUACUCAGGAUAGUGAUAUAUAUAUAUGUAUGAACAUAUAUGCUCUGAGUAAGGAAUAAAAACUACCCACCAUACGAUAUCAACUGGAAUUAAUUAUAGUGUAUGCUUAUUCGGAGAAUAUAUGUUUACACCAAGAUCCAAAAUUAAAUUCGGAGAAUAUAUGGAGAGCAUAUAAUAAUAAUUAAAUGUACUUUGUCACAUAUUUUGUUUAACAAAUGUGGCUUGAUUUCUUUUAUAAAAUGAAAUAAAGUUCCAUUGCAAACCUAUACGAAUAUAUAUAACAAAUUGUCAAACAUUUUGAUGAGUUCACAAAAUUUAUCAUAAAUACCUAAGAAAUUAUCAUUGCAGUCGUAAUUGAACUUUGACCCUAUAAUUGUUUUAAGGAUCUUUAAUCCCAGAACACAGAGCACGAAAAUGAGUUUCCUGUAUCAAAAGAAGAAGUAGAAGAAAAGGCAUUUUCCAAAAGGCUUAAUCUGGAAGAUAUGAUAUUUGGUUUUGUCUACCUAAAUAAACACUCAUAAAAUUGACCAAAAAAUUACUAGCACUCAGAAGAAUCAUUUUCUGCUUUCUAUUUCAAAGUGGGGCUGCGUUAUUUAUCGAGAGACCUCCAUCUAAUUAAGAAUUUCUAAAUGAGAAACGAGAAGCUUGAUUGAUCUUGUGAAGGGGAUAAGGAAGCAAAUAGCCUAGGCUUGUUAAAAGAUUUCCCACGUAACAGUAAAAUGAUUAUAGAAGUCGUAAUUGAUAUUAUCUAUGUCAGUAUGUGUAAUAUAUUGUGUGUCAGUCCUUAUAGGUACGCAAAGGUCCCAUGAUUGAACAAAUUGAUGUCCCUCUGAAAUUUUCUUGAAGUUUUCUUUUCUUCAUUUGUAUUUUUUUCACCAAAAUGUACUUAUUUGUCUGCUUGUCUGGAACCAUCUUUAACCUAAUAUGCAUUGGUUGAUAGUCUUAGACCAUCCGCAUCAGCGGUUUAAGAGGGGGUCAUGGGCUCGGGAUCUUAGGCCCGAUCAAUUAAAAAAAAAUGUAAAAUGGGUAUAUAUCGCUGAACCGGGCCUUAGUUAUGAACCCGUAAGGGGCGAGGUCAAGCCACGCGUCACGCACGGAUUGGCUGGUCGUUUCCGCGUUGACGUUGUGGAAAGACGGGAUCUCGCGUGAUUCCAUUCAUUUCUCUCCUUUCUCAAAAAAGCUAGGGUUUCAUCCCUGCGGCGAUCUUCGGUGCGACGGCGAAUUCCGUAGCUUUUGGCCAUCAAAUCGACGACGGUCUCUGUUCUCGACGCUGUAAGGUGAAUAUAUAGUUGAUUAAAUAUGGAUUAGAGUUGAUUUGGGGGUUUUUUUCGAAUUGCGAAUUGUGUGAUUCAAAAUCGAUUUGGGGUUUUUUUUCUUAGGGUUCUUAAUCGAUAAGGGAGUUCGAUUGAGAGUUCGUUUAAUCAUAUUCCAUCAUUAUUAUGUGCUAAUACUAUCGAUUUGUGGCACAGAUGGAUCCGGGUGAAGAGAAAAGAAAUUCAAAGAGGCAAAUCGAUAACAACAACAUGUUAGGGUUCGUGGCCGAUUCAGAGUACGGGAUUCCAAGAAAGUGUCCAUGUGGUGGGAGAAUUAUUGAUGAGGUUAGACGGAAGGACGAGUACGACACUAAUCCGGGGAAGCGGUUCUUCACCUGCAUAAACCACGAGGCUGAUGGGUUCCAUUAUCGUCAGCCUUGGGUGAUAGGUGUGCAGGAGGAGAUCGAGAGGUUGACUAAGCGGGUGGUGGAGGCUGAAGACGUCAUGAGGGGGAUGUGGAAAGUCACUAAACAGAUUGAGACUCUGGAGGUUAGUGAACUUUCUUUGCUGUUUCAUUCCUCUUACAUGUUUGAUUUUAGUUAUGUACUUCUUUAAGCGUGACUAACACUUUUUUUUUUAUGUUUCCAUGUCCAGGAACAGGUACAAAUCUUCUCUGGACAGGUGGCUGACCUGGAGAAGGUUUGCUUCGAAUGAAAAGCAAAGGUAAGAGUCGACAUAACUGUAGAGGUUGUUUGCAAUUGCCUGUUUGAAAAACUUGAUUGCUUUAUGUCUGUUCAAAAUUGUUAAUGUAUAUUUAAAAGUAGAACUAGAAGUAGAAUUUUAAAAUACGAAGCUAACUUGUUUAACCGUGGAAAAAACCAACUUGAACACACAAACAUAUUAACACGUAACCAAACCUUAAACUACAAC